rnacentral:rRNA from 1 species
GUGAACGCUGGCGGUAGGCCUAACGCAUGCCAGUCGAACGGCAGCACAGUAAGAGCUUGCUCUUACGGGUGGCGAGUGGCGGACGGGUGAGGAAUACAUCGGAAUCUACUUUUUCGUGGGGGACAACGUAGGGAAACUUACGCUAAUACCGCAUACGACCUACGGGUGAAAGCAGGGGAUCUUCGGACCUUGCGCGAUUGAAUGAGCCGAUGUCGGAUUAGCUAGUUGGCGGGGUAAAGGCCCACCAAGGCGACGAUCCGUAGCUGGUCUGAGAGGAUGAUCAGCCACACUGGAACUGAGACACGGUCCAGACUCCUACGGGAGGCAGCAGUGGGGAAUAUUGGACAAUGGGCGCAAGCCUGAUCCAGCCAUACCGCGUGGGUGAAGAAGGCCUUCGGGUUGUAAAGCCCUUUUGUUGGGAAAGAAAAGCAGCAGGUUAAUACCCCGCUGUUCUGACGGUACCCAAAGAAUAAGCACCGGCUAACUUCGUG